rnacentral:rRNA from 1 species
UAUCACGGGAGACACACGGCGGGUGCUAACGUCCGUCGUGAAGAGGGAAACAACCCAGACCGCCAGCUAAGGUCCCAAAGUCAUGGUUAAGUGGGAAACGAUGUGGGAAGGCCCAGACAGCCAGGAUGUUGGCUUAGAAGCAGCCAUCAUUUAAAGAAAGCGUAAUAGCUCACUGGUCGAGUCGGCCUGCGCGGAAGAUGUAACGGGGCUAAACCAUGCACCGAAGCUGCGGCAGCGAACGUAUCACCCAAGACAACUUUACGGAGUUGACGAUUGACGGAGCGAAGCGACGUCAAAGCGUUCAUUAAAGUCGAGUUGGCUUAGGGAUACGUUCGUUGGGUAGGGGAGCGUUCUGUAAGCCGUUGAAGGUGGCCUGUGAGGGUUGCUGGAGGUAUCAGAAGUGCGAAUGCUGACAUAAGUAACGAUAAAGCGGGUGAAAAGCCCGCUCGCCGGAAGACCAAGGGUUCCUGUCCAACGUUAAUCGGGGCAGGGUGAGUCGACCCCUAAGGCGAGGCCGAAAGGCGUAGUCGAUGGGAAACGGGUUAAUAUUCCCGUACUUGGUGUUACUGCGAAGGGGGGACGGAGAAGGCUAUGUUGGCCGGGCGACGGUUGUCCCGGUUUAAGCGUGUAGGUGUGUGUUCCAGGUAAAUCCGGUUCACUUUAACACUGAGGCGUGACGACGAGGCACUACGGUGCUGAAGCAACAAAUGCCCUGCUUCCAGGAAAAGCCUCUAAGCAUCAGGUAACAUCAAAUCGUACCCCAAACCGACACAGGUGGUCAGGUAGAGAAUACCAAGGCGCUUGAGAGAACUCGGGUGAAGGAACUAGGCAAAAUGGUGCCGUAACUUCGGGAGAAGGCACGCUGACACGUAGGUGAAGUGAUUUACUCAUGGAGCUGAAGUCAGUCGAAGAUACCAGCUGGCUGCAACUGUUUAUUAAAAACACAGCACUGUGCAAACACGAAAGUGGACGUAUACGGUGUGACGCCUGCCCGGUGCCGGAAGGUUAAUUGAUGGGGUCAGCGCAAGCGAAGCUCCUGAUCGAAGCCCCGGUAAACGGCGGCCGUAACUAUAACGGUCCUAAGGUAGCGAAAUUCCUUGUCGGGUAAGUUCCGACCUGCACGAAUGGCGUAAUGAUGGCCAGGCUGUCUCCACCCGAGACUCAGUGAAAUUGAACUCGCUGUGAAGAUGCAGUGUACCCGCGGCAAGACGGAAAGACCCCGUGAACCUUUACUAUAGCUUGACACUGAACAUUGAGCCUUGAUGUGUAGGAUAGGUGGGAGGCUUUGAAGCGUGG